ensembl:lncRNA
GGCGGGAUUCAAUAGCGUCGUCAUCUUGGCGGGCGGAGUGACAGCACGGAAGAGCGCGAAGGACGGAGGCGAACAGCAGCCAGUUUUAUCACCAUCAGCCACGCAGGUUCUGCCAAUCAGCGCCGCGCAGGGGAUCGGCUGUCACUCACGCAGACUGACAGGGAGCUGCGCGGGGUUGACUUGGCAGCAGCUGGAGGCUCGCGAUGGCUUUUGAAAGACUAUGUUCGCCCCUCGUCUGGACUACUGUCUGUUUGGACUAUCUGUUUAACUCGCCCCCUGGAUUAUGUUAGCCGUUGAUUGACCUAUGACUGUUCACUGGACUGCUCUUGUGUCUUGCCCUCAAUAUACUGGUUUGCCGGAGUUCAACCCCGCCUGUGGAGGACCAUGUCUAUGAAUAAAGCUUUGCGUAUGGAUCCCCAUUUCUCGCGUCUCUUUCACUCCGUAACAGAGAACAUCUUGGUUGUAAUCUUGUUGACAUGCCAUGAACAUGAAACACCUUGUAUGAUGAGUCACCUUUAAGUAUGGCAAUUUCGCAUUCAUUCUCUAACAGUGGUUUUUAAACUUUUUAAGGCAGGCAGGUAGCUCAUUUAAUAUAACAGGAAUUCGCUAAUCUAAGAGCUGGUUAAUCGUAAUUAUGUGAAAUUACAUUUUAAAAUGCUCAUAUUCAGACUGCAGUUACUUUUAAUUUGUUAUGUGAUAUUCACACAAUAGCAAUAAAUUAUUAAUUAUUUAUUGAUUCUCCCUAAUUCCUCUUUUUCAUCUUUUAAAUGUUCCUUUCCAAAAUAGCCAACUGCUUAUAGUCUUGUCAAUUUUAUGGACAUUCACAAAAAAAUAAAAAACCUUCAUUAGUCAGGUGGCUACACAGCGUUUGACCACUGGAUUUAUAAAACUGAUUUCAGGUUUAAGAACAUUGCAUUGAUGCUCAUUUUUAUUUGAAUUAUCACUCUCUAUGCUAUUUAACCAUGAUAACUAUAUGUAUUACUGAGUCUUUGAGAGGGGGGUGACUUAUAAAAAUAUAAAAAUGCACAAAUCCAUUGCAUAUAAUGCAGGCAUUUGUAAGCUUUUAUCAUCUGAACCUCUUUCACCAUAUGUAGUUAGUUGAACUACCCCUGAGAUUUUAAAAAUAAAUAUUUAAUUCAUUAAGUAUAAUUUUUGCAUUAUUACGGUUCUCUGAGGCGGGUUAAUUGUCACAUGACCUUAUUAUUUUUUUUUUAGUAAGUGUUUUAUUUUGAUUGAUUUUAUUUUAAAAUGAUUUAUUUUCAUUCCUUAUUUUUAUGAUUUAAUUAAUUAUCAGCUUAAACUAACAAACACCCUCCAGUUUAGGAACACAUAAUGGUAUGUUCAAUGCACUUCAUGUUGUUAAUUACAACAAAUGGAAUUUAUUUUCUUAUUCUUUGUAUUUUUAUAUCAAUAUGGUUCCAAUUAAAUCAGUGUGUUAAACAGGUUAGGUGAAAAGACAUUUAAAAAUAGUCUAAUUAUAUUACCCAAAAAUGUGUAAUGUAAUGGAUUAUGUUACUUACUAUAAUUUUGUCAUGUAAUUUGGUACCCAGUACCCAGAUCUAUGUGUGUGUCAACUUAUAUUGGAUUUAUAUUGAAUUAUAUUUUUAUAAUUAUAUUGAAUAUAUUUGAAUUACAUUU